ensembl:rRNA 5S_rRNA 5S ribosomal RNA
GUUCACAGCCAUACCACCCUGAAUGUGCCUGAUUUCAUCUGAUCUCAGAAGCUAAGUAGGGUAGGGCUUGGUUAGUAGUACUUGGAUGGGAGAAAAUACUGUUCUCUCUCGUUUUACAAAUAAAAGAAGAAGUAAAAG